rnacentral:lncRNA from 1 species
ACAGACGAGACAGUAUGCCGUGUAACUGCGAUCCCUCGCGCUUCCUGCUCGGCGAAACUCCAGAACCGGACGGUGGAUUUGGACUGUGUAUCCGAGCCGAUCAUCUUGGGUUCUCCUAAAGCCGCAUAGAGACAACAUAGCGAAGGAUAUAACCUACAGGAUUUUGUUCUUGACCAGUUUGGAUUAAUUGUCUUUUGGAUACCAGAGUGAAACUGUUGCGCAAUGAGGUUGACGUGGUGGAUCCAACUGCUCCUACUGGCCAGCGGAAGUGUGUCUUCACUGGAACGAGUCACACACAAUCCAGAAAACAACGUCAUCUGUCCUCAGGCUCUAAACUGCAGGGUGAGAUAUACAGAUCCUAUCACACCACUUGAUGUGGUCUGUGGUCCUGUGUAUGUGUGUUCUCUAGCCGUGCAGUCCAAAACUGUGCUGCCACAAGAAGGACUGCAAACCCUGUUUGUGGAUCAACAUCCAGCUGAGUAUUAUUCCAGAUCUCAAAGAGGAGGAGGACAGAGAUAUUGAGAGAUCAGAAUAUGAAGAGGAGAGCAGUGGGGACUGGGAUUCAGGAUGUGUUUCCAUGCCAAAUGACACAAGGGAAGAAUACUCUCUCUGUGAAGACCAGCUAGAUCAAGCUACUAUUACAAUAUGCUACCAACCAGCAGAAGUGCAGUAUGAGUGGUGCAAGAGAUUAGACUUCACAGUGACUUCUACCGCAAGCUGUAAACUUCUCAAUCUGACUCUGGUGGAGUAUAAUGAUGUUGACUUUGGCAGAACAAUGAAGAUCACUGUUGGAUCAUUCACUAAGUCACCUGAAGUUGAAUUCCCUACAUUGAAAACAGUGUGUUCCUUAUCACACCUCAAGGACAUAGAGCAGUGCAAAGGUCCUAGGGUCUCCACUGAAAUACAGGGGAGUAAGGUGCUGUUAGUCAAUGAGGAUGAAGGAGCUUCUGAACGCUUGUCCCUGUGUAUGAAACGUGGAAGAGAAGGGAGAUGCUGGCCCUUGCCAAGUAAUAACAUUCCACUGGCGUCAAUCACAGACUGCAUGUGUUUCCAGGUACCGUGCUUUUCAAACAUGUACACGCUCAAAACAAUGCCUCUUUUCUUUCAAAAUUUCUUUCGAUAUUAUUUUAACUUGCCUUGUGUUUGCAUAUGCUUUAGGCAUGGAAAAAUGAUUCAGUUCGUGCGGAAAUCUGUCCUUUUGAAAAAAAUACAGGUAAAACCACAAUCAUAUUCAGAGACACCAUGACUUUCUAAAUUGUUUGUGAUUUACUGGAUAAGGAUUAUAUUGUAUGAAAAAAUAAUAAAUAUAUAUAUACACGACA